rnacentral:rRNA from 1 species
UGGGCAGGGGCGCGUGCUUACACAUGCAGUCGAACGGGCCUGCCCCUUGUGGGUGGGUUAGUGGCGAACGGGUGAGUAUCACGUGAGUAACCUGCCCCCUGCUCCUGGAUAACGCUCUGAAAGGGGUGCUAAUACGGGGUGUGCUGGUGCUGCCGCAUGGUGGUGCCGGGAUAGGUUCCCUCUUUUGGGGGGUUCUGGUGGGGGAUGGGCUCGCGGCCUAUCAGCUUGUUGGUGGGGUGAUGGCCUACCAAGGCGGUGACGGGUAGCCGGCCUGAGAGGGUGGACGGCCACACUGGGACUGAGACACGGCCCAGACUCCUGCGGGAGGCAGCAGUGGGGGGUAUUGCGCAAUGGGCGGAAGCCUGACGCAGCGACGCCGCGUGAGGGACGGAGGCCUUCGGGUUGUGAACCUCUUUCGCCGGUGGAGAAGGCGCCCCCGUGUGGGGUGCUGACUGUAGCCGGAUAAGAAGCGCCGGCUAACUACGUGCCAGCAGCCGCGGUAAUACGUAGGGCGCGAGCGUUGUCCGGAGUUACUGGGCGUAAAGGGCUUGUAGGCGGCUGGUCGCGUCUGCCGUGAAAUCCCCUGGCUCAACCGGGGGCGUGCGGUGGGUACGGGCUGGCUUGAGUGCGGUAGGGGAGGCUGGAACUCCUGGUGUAGCGGUGGAAUGCGCAGAUAUCAGGAGGAACACCGGUGGCGAAGGCGGGUCUCUGGGCCGUUACUGACGCUGAGGAGCGAAAGCGUGGGGAGCGAACAGGAUUAGAUACCCUGGUAGUCCAUGCUGUAAACGUUGGGCACUAGGUGUGGGGGGUCUUU